GAUAUAAUGAAUAAGGUGUGCAUGCUGAGAGAGAAGUCCCAAAACUUGAUAUAGAGGAAUUUGCUUUAUGUCUAAUGAGUUGGACUGAAACUCAUCUAUCGGUAGAACCGAAUUAAUUGUUCACGUGAUUCAUAUGAUUGUUCCACACUCGAUUCAAG